GAUGAACGCUGGCGGCGUGCCUAAUACAUGCAAGUCGAGCGAACAGACGAGGAGCUUGCUCCUCUGACGUUGGCGGCGGACGGGUGAGUAACACGUGGAUAACCUACCUAUAAGACUGGGAUAACUUCGGGAAACCGGAGCUAAUACCGGAUAAUAUAUUGAACCGCAUGGUUCAAUAGUGAAAGACAGUUUUGCUGUCACUUAUAGAUGGAUCCGCGCCGCAUUAGCUAGUUGGUAAGGUAACGGCUUACCAAGGCAACGAUGCGUAGCCGACCUGAGAGGGUGAUCGGCCACACUGGAACGGAGACACGGUCCAGACUCCUGCGGGAGGCAGCAGUAGGGAAUCUUCCGCAAUGGGCGAAAGCCUGACGGAGCAACGCCGCGUGAGUGAUGAAGGUCUUCGGAUCGUAAAACUCUGUUAUUAGGGAAGAACAAAUGUGUAAGUAACUAUGCACGUCUUGACGGUACCUAAUCAGAAAGCCACGGCUAACUACGUG
rnacentral:rRNA from 1 species